rnacentral:rRNA from 1 species
GACAGAGGGUGCAAACGUUGUUCGGAAUUACUGGGCGUAAAGCGAGUGUAGGCGGUUCGCUAAGUCGGGUGUGAAAGCCCCGGGCUCAACCCGGGAAGUGCACUCGAAACUGGCAGGCUAGAGUAUCGGAGAGGUUGGUGGAAUUCUCGGUGUAGAGGUGAAAUUCGUAGAUAUCGAGAGGAACACCGGUGGCGAAGGCGGCCAACUGGACGAAUACUGACGCUGAGGCACGAAAGCGUGGGGAGCAAACAGG